rnacentral:rRNA from 1 species
UUCGCAAUGCCCGAAAGGGUGGCGAAGCGACGCCGCGUGCGGGAAGAAGGCCUUCGGGUUGUAAACCGCUGUCGGGAGUUAAGAAAUGCAAGGGUGCAAAUAGUAUCUUUGCUUGACUAAGGCUCCGGAGGAAGCCACGGCUAACUCUGUGCCAGCAGCCGCGGUAAUACAGAGGUGGCAAGCGUUGUUCGGUAUUAUUGGGCGUAAAGAGCACGUAGGUGGUUUUGUAAGUCAGGUGUGAAAGCCUUCUGUUCAAAGGAAGAACGGCAUCUGAAACUGCAGAUCUUGAGUGUAGGAGGGGAGAGUGGAACUUCUGGUGGAGCGGUGAAAUGCGUAGAUAUCAGAAGGAACGCCGGCGGCGAAAGCGGCUCUCUGGCCCGUAACUGACGCUGAGUGUGCGAAAGCUAGGGGAGCAAACGGGAUUAGAUACCCCGGUAGUCCUAGCCGUAAACGAUGGGCACUAAGUAGAGGGGUUUU